GGCAAAGAGGCCACACCCGUUCCCAUCCCGAACACGGAAGUUAAGCUCUUUAGCGCCGAUGGUAGUUGGGGGAUCUCCCCCUGUGAGAGUAGGACACUGCCAGGC
rnacentral:rRNA from 1 species